GAUGAACGCUGGCAGCGUGCCUAAUACAUGCAAGUCGAGCGAACAGAUGAGGAGCUUGCUCCUCUGACGUUAGCGGCGGACGGGUGAGUAACACGUGGAUAACCUACCUAUAAGACUGGGAUAACUUCGGGAAACCGGAGCUAAUACCGGAUAAUAUAUUGAACCGCAUGGUUCAAUAGUGAAAGACGGUUUUGCUGUCACUUAUAGAUGGAUCCGCGCCGCAUUAGCUAGUUGGUAAGGUAACGGCUUACCAAGGCAACGAUGCGUAGCCGACCUGAGAGGGUGAUCGGCCACACUGGAACUGAGCCACGGUCCAGACUCCUACGGGAGGCAGCAGUAGGGAAUCUUCCGCAAUGGGCGAAAGCCUGACGGAGCAACGCCGCGUGAGUGAUGAAGGUCUUCGGAUCGUAAAACUCUGUUAUUAGGGAAGAACAAAUGUGUAAGUAACUAUGCACGUCUUGACGGUACCUAAUCAGAAAGCCACGGCUAACUACGUG
rnacentral:rRNA from 1 species